rnacentral:lncRNA from 1 species
CAAGGCCAGAACCCCGACUGCCAUUCCUGGACGGGAGCCACCAACACCCGCAAAAUCGAUCGGAUUGUGGCAAAAUACCGAGCUAAAGUUCCUGGCACGCAGUACCAGCUCAGGAAAGGUUCAUCUCUUCCUCCUCCGCAGAUUCAGCCUGGGACGCUUGCUGUUUCCGAACCUCUGUUGCCACCUAUCCCAGUUUGGAGGGAAUUUUCCCAAGGAUGGUGAAGAAGGGAUUUCCACACGCCGCCUCACUCAGCCCCGCACCCCUGGCCACCAGCCAGGACUUAGGGUGUAGUUAAGGAUCUUUCAAUUAGAAGGGAGGCUUCUGAUUCCCAAAAGCACUCAAAAUAUUUAAGGAAGUGCUUUUUAUAAUCAGUCCUAGAGCCUUGCUGCACUGGAUACUCCUGUUAAUUAAUUUCUUCUCCUUUGACAUUUUAAGUGCUAAUUAUAGGAGAAGGUGAUUAACACUGAGAAAGGAGGAGGGGUGUGUGUGUGUGUGUGUGUGUGUGUGUGUGUGUUUUUAAUCAUGACACAAAUUUCCCCCAGUGGAAAGUGACAUGUUUCUGGAGAUCCAGGGAAUUUAAACCAAUGAAUACAUAAAAACAGUCACAUGAGUGAUGACUAACAGUAGCAGUAGACAGGCCACCACUCUUCCUUGCCAUAGUCAUCCAAAAUGAAAUGAGCAUCUUUUGAAAACCUAAGCCUCAUUCUACUCCUGUCCCUCUUUUGUCACUCCUAUCUUCCUGUUUUCCAGGCUUCAUGACCACACUGCUGUAGGAAGCCAUAAGUUGGAAAUCAACGGGCCUGGCUUGAAGUGUGGCCUUAGGCAACACCGUUCUCAUCUACAUCUGGAUUCUCCAACAAAGCUGGGAAAAAAACGAUCCAAGGGAAGCCAAUCAAAGAGCCUGGAUUGCCAGUCUUCCCUGCUGCGAUCUCCGCCUGCGAUUCUCCAGGGGAAAUGUCCUUUAUGACCUUACAGCUCACCUGGAACCCUCCACCUAGGGCCCGAGGCAGCACAUCCUCUCGUGCCCGGGCACUUCCAGGCAUUGCCCUGAGUACUGGGCACUUCACACACUGGGCUGGACCACUCACCGGAGUGAAUAAGGAGGCUUGAAGCUGUCCUGGUACAACAAUGGAAUGAAGCGCUAGUCUCAGCUCAGCCACUUGGAAUAUGACUCCAACUCUCACAUUUCUGUGGGGUGUAUUCAUUUCAGCUUUUUGUUUGGUGCUAUGGGGAGGGAAGGGCCCUCAGACUGGCAUCCUUUUUCUUCCAGGAUGAUGAUGAAUAUUAUGAAAGUCUGAGGCUGUUUUUAAAAUUCUGCUCUAAUACGU